ACACGACUACAUUAGAUACCCCCGUAGUCCCAGCUGUAAACUAUGUGCGUUAGGUGUGUCAGUGACCACGUGUCACUGAGGUGCCGAAGGGAAACCGUGAAACGCACCGCCUGGGGAGUACGGUCGCAAGGCUGAAACUUAAAGGAAUUGGCGGGGGAGCACACAACGGGUGGAGCCUGCGGUUUUAAUUGGACUCAACGCCGGAAAACUCACCGGGGGCGACAGCAAUAUGUAGGUCAAGCUAAAGACUUUACCAGAAUCGCUG
rnacentral:rRNA from 1 species